rnacentral:tRNA from 1 species
UCCCUAAUGGCUCAGAUGGUAAAGAAUCUGCCUGCAACGCAGGAGGCCCAGGUUCAGUCCCUGGGUAGGGAA